UUACCUUCCAUUAAAAACCUGGGUUCUGUUCCUAUAGAAACUGCUGUAGCCCAUUUGGGAUUUAACGAGCUUCCCACAGGCUGCCAUCCUUUACCCCAUUUCUGAGAAGCCACUUGAGAUCAUUUGUCGAGGCCCCAUGUGACUCGGGAAAGGCCGGCCAUCUGCUGCUCAGCCCUGGCUCAGCCCUGGCUCGCCCACAGCUGCCUCUGUCCUUCCAUCAUCCUGGCAGAGAGCGCCCAGCAAAACCCAACUGACACGCUGGGAACGUACAAAGAGGCUUUCAGCACAUCCACCACUUUGAAACGGUUCCAGUUUAUACCACAUCAGACACAUACUAGUUCUUUUCUAAGUGACUGAGUUCCUCAGUCAGUUACCAGUUCCAGGGCUAUAGCACAACACCAAGGAUAAUCCAUCAACCUGUUAGCAGGCAACUGCUGAAGGUGAGAGGCCCAUUUAUGCCCCCCCCCCAACGUUAUUGGUUGGUUACAUUCAGGGAAUAGCUCUAUAGUCAGCAAGGUUCCCACCAC
rnacentral:lncRNA from 1 species